CCAGUCAGAAGGGACUGGGUCCCUGAAGGGCUGAGGGAGCUGCCAGCACCCUGGACUGGAUAGUGCUGGGCCGAGCUCCAGCCUGAGAAAGAUUGAAGCCCUGAUACAGGAUGGGGAAACCAGCAUGAAGGGAUGAAGUGAUGUGCUACCCAUGGUCCCCAGGAGCAGAGCUGGGAAUAGAAUACAGGUCUGCUGAAGCCAAGUUCAGUGCUCUAGUCACUAGGCCUCGCUGCCUCCCAUAUGGCUGCUGCUAUAGGAAAUCAAAGUGGAACCUGAUGGAACUGUCUCCCCCAUUCCAGGAUCACUUACUGAAAGGGGUAUCCCUGUGCGGAGCAGAGCAGAACUGGGCCAAGGAAUUGUGUGCGCAUUUGUGCUGGUCCCACCGUUGCCUUGGUGAAUGAAGUAGCAGCAGGGAUUUAGGAGUGAGCCUCAGCGUGCUGUCAAAUCAAGCCUCUCUCUAAAUCUGAAUUUGAUUGACUGAUUGAUGAGCUGUCACCACCAGCCUGGGCACGCGUUGCCAGUCCCAGCCUGUCUGGUAACAGUCGGGCUCUAAUCAGUGUGGAAGGAAAUAUUUAUACAGAUUCUGCAGAGCCGAAUCACCACGUUUCACGCAACUGCAGUGUGGAAUAAGCAGUGGAGUAAUUGGCAGCACAGUAUGUAUUAUUGCUCACUCACAGCCGCCUCCAGGAGGCCUGACAGCCUGUUUCCAAUGCGAGAUGUUUUGCAUAGCGUGAAUA